rnacentral:rRNA from 1 species
CAGGCGCGAAAACUUCACACUGUGGGCAACCCCGAUGAGGGAAUUCCAAGUGCUAGCACUUUUCGUGUUAGCUGUUCUCCUGUCUAAAAAACAGGAGAAGUAAGGGCCGGGUAAGACGGGUGCCAGCCGCCGCGGUAAUACCCGCGGCCCGAGUGGUGGUCGAUAUUAUUGAGCCUAAAACGUUCGUAGCCGGUCUUGUAAAUCCUUGGGUAAAUCGGCCAGCUUAACUGUCCGAAGUCCGGGGAGACUGCAAGACUUGGGAUCGGGAGAGGUCAGAGGUACUUCUGGGGUAGGGGUAAAAUCCUGUAAUCCUAGAAGGACCACCGGUGGCGAAGGCGUCUGACUAGAACGAAUUCGACGGUGAGGAACGAAGCCCUGGGGCGCAAACGGGAUUAGAUACCCCGGUAGUCCAGGGUGUAAACGCUGCGGGCUUGGUGUUGGGGGUCCUUAGUGGGCGCCCAGUGCCGGAGAGAAGUUGUUAAGCCUGCUGCUUGGGGAGUACGUCCGCAAGGAUGAAACUUAAAGGAAUUGGCGGGGGAGCAC